UCAAUUUUAGUUGGUUUGUUUCAGUUUGUUUCAAUUUUAGUUGGUUUGAUUCAUUUUAGUUGGUUUGUUUCAGUAUUUUAGUUUGCUGCAAAUUGAUGCAGUUUCAAUAUUUUGUGUGUUUGAUGGUUUAAUGCUUUGAUCAGUUUCAUGGUUUGAGAGUUUGGGAGUUUGCUAGAAAUUUCUAAUUUGUUAUGUUGAUGUUGAUUGUUGAGUUUUAUGAGUGAAUGGUAUUUGCAAUAUUGAAUCAUUUGAAUGUAUGUAUGGAAAUCAGGAAAACUGGAAGCUGCAGACUAGAAAAUGCUGAAAAACAGUUUUUCUGUAUGGAAAAACCGAGGAACCGAACUUGGACCCGAACCGAACUUGGAACCGAAACCGAAAAACCUUCACAGGACCCGAACUGAUCUUGGAACCGAAAAACCGAGAAACCGACCCGAAUAUGGUCGGUUCGGUUCCAUAUCGGUUCUUGAUAAAAAAAACAGCAUACCCGAACCGAUUAUGUCAUCUCGGUUCCGGUUCUGGUUUCUGGACUUGAAAGUGUAAAACCGACUCAGGCCAGCCCUAAUCUAAAGUAUAUCAGGCUUUGUUCUAUCUUCACAUUCUAUUGAUACUAUUAUGUUUAUUCUCUAACUGUUCACAUACAAUGGGAUGCAGGGACUUGUUGACGUGACGGCUUGUGGUAUUUUUCUCAAGGGAAACACUAUUGCUGUCCUGGGUUCACUUCAUGGAUUAAAGAUGGUAAGGAGGAUUGUGGAAGACUGUAUAGCUCAUGAUGUGCCUCCUGCACCCCGUGUCCAGAGGAUGAAAAAGAAGAGCCAAGCAAUGAAGGACAGGAGGAUCAAAAGGACGAGUGAAGUGACAAUGAAUCUCCAAGCUUUGCGUGUCUAAAUGGUGUUCUAUGAGGCUCAUUU